GCCUACAGCCAUACCACGCUGGAGGCGCCUGAUCUCAUCUGAUCCCAGAAGCUAAGCAGGGUCAGGGUUGGGUGUGGUUAGUACUUGAAUGGGAGAUGCCACCCCUGUCUGUAGUGC
rfam:Sus scrofa chromosome 8.